AAGACUAUACUUUCAGGAAACAUUUCUAUAGUUUGUUACUAGAGAAGUUUCUUUGAUGGUGUAGAGCACCCAAGACUAUGAGGAGGAGAUACAGCAUUUUCUCCUGAGUGUGAAUCCAGCUCUUGGUGUUGCUUUGGUAACUGCCAUUUGCCAUUGAUGACUGUUCUUAUUCUAUCCUCAGAGAGAAUCAGGGGGAGAACGUGUUCUGAGUGGG